rnacentral:rRNA from 1 species
UGGGGAAUAUUGGACAAUGGGCGCAAGCCUGAUCCAGCCAUGCCGCGUGAGUGAUGACGGCCUUAGGGUUGUAAAGCUCUUUUACCUGGGAAGAUAAUGACGGUACCAGGAGAAUAAGCCCCGGCUAACUUCGUGCCAGCAGCCGCGGUAAUACGAAGGGGGCUAGCGUUGUUCGGAAUCACUGGGCGUAAAGCGCACGUAGGCGGAUCUUUAAGUCAGGGGUGAAAUCCCAGAGCUCAACUCUGGAACUGCCUUUGAUACUGGGGAUCUUGAGUCCGGAAGAGGUAAGUGGAACUGCGAGUGUAGAGGUGAAAUUCGUAGAUAUUCGCAAGAACACCAGUGGCGAAGGCGGCUUACUGGUCCGGAACUGACGCUGAGGUGCGAAAGCGUGGGGAGCAAACAGG